rnacentral:rRNA from 1 species
UAGGGAAUCUUGCACAAUGGGCGCAAGCCUGAUGCAGCAACGCCGCGUGCGCGAUGAAGGCCUUCGGUUUGUAAAGCGCUUUCCUGGAGGACGAGGAAGGACGGUACUCCAGGAAUAAGGCUCGGCUAACUACGUGCCAGCAGCCGCGGUAAAACGUAGGAGCCAAGCGUUAUCCGAAUUUAUUGGGCGUAAAGCGCAUGCAGGCGGUUGGGUAAGUUGGCUGUGAAAUCUCCCGGCUCAACUGGGAGGAGACGGUCAAGACUGCCCGACUGGAGGCAGAUAGAGGGAGGUGGAAAUCCCGGUGUAGUGGUGAAAUGCGUAGAUAUCGGGAGGAACACCAGUGGCGAAAGCGGCCUCCUGGAACUGAACUGACGCUCAAACGCGAAAGCUAGGGGAGCAAACGGG